CCCUUAGAUGUUCUGGGCCGCACGCGCGCUACACUGACGGAGUCAACGAGUUGUCCUGCAUCGGAAGGUGUGGGUAAUCUUUUGAAACUUCGUCGUGCUGGGGAUAGAUCUUUGCAAUUUUCGAUCUUGAACGAGGAAUUCCUAGUAAGCGUGAUUCAUCAGAUCGCGUUGAUUACGUCCCUGCCCUUUGUACACACCGCCCGUCGCUACUACCGAUUGAAUGGUUUAGUGAGGCCUCGGGACUGGCGCGCUCGAGUAGCAAUACACCUGCGCGCCGGGAACUUGGUCAAACUUGAUCAUUUAGAGGAAGUAAAAGUCGUNACA
rnacentral:rRNA from 1 species